rnacentral:rRNA from 1 species
CAGCAGCCGCGGUAAUACGGAGGGUGCAAGCGUUAUCCGGAUUCACUGGGUUUAAAGGGUGCGUAGGCGGGCAGGUAAGUCAGUGGUGAAAUCUUCGAGCUUAACUCGGAAACUGCCGUUGAUACUAUCUGUCUUGAAUAUAGUGGAGGUAAGCGGAAUAUGUCAUGUAGCGGUGAAAUGCUUAGAGAUGACAUAGAACACCAAUUGCGAAGGCAGCUUGCUACACUAUUAUUGACGCUGAGGCACGAAAGCGUGGGGAUCAAACAGGAUUAGAUACCCUGGUAGUCCACGCCCUAAACGAUGAUUACUCGACAUCAGCGAUACACUGUUGGUGUCUAAGCUAAAGCAUUAAGUAAUCCACCUGGGAAGUACGAUCGCAAGAUUGAAACUCAAAUGAAUUGACGG